UACGAUAUUUAUCUAUUAUAUCAGGACAAUAUUGGCCUCUUUCUUGCUAUGGUAUCUCUAUUUCUUGGAUCCUUGAGGAGAUUCUCAAGGGACCUAGGCGGUCUGUUUACACCUUGGGGUUUUCAGGCAUGUUUCAGGCCAUUUGGCUCGAACAUUGAGUAAGAUCCUUCUUAUUUUUAUCUUAAACUCAUCGAUUCCCAAGUCUACAUCCUCAUCUCUGUUUUACUUCUAAAAACCUAAUUUUACCUUUGAUCUUCUCAUAUCUGUACAAACCUGAGACGGAUUGAAUGUACCUCACUUGCUUUCUUGAAAGUUUUCUAUUUUUUCAAGUUAUUUUUCGUCCUUCCUAAAAGUAGGGUUUACUGAAAAUCAUAUUCUCAAAGUUUUUCUGAGUUUCGAUUGAUAAUCAUCUAUUCCUAAGUAUUAUUGGUUGAUUUCUGUAAACUCUGUUUAGACACUAAUCAAUUUAUGCUAAAGCCCAAAUUUUCUUCUAUUUUUUUGCUUCGAUUCUAAGUCUUUC
rnacentral:lncRNA from 1 species